GCCAUGGGCAGGUUGAAGGUUGGGUAACACUAACUGGAGGACCGAACCGACUAAUGUUGAAAAAUUAGCGGAUGACCUGUGGCUGGGGGUGAAAGGCCAAUCAAACCGGGAGAUAGCUGGUUCUCCCCGAAAGCUAUUUAGGUAGCGCCUCGUGAAUUCAUCUCCGGGGGUAGAGCACUGUUUCGGCYAGGGGGYCAUCCCGRCUUACCAACCCGAUGCAAACUGCGAAUACCGRAGAAUGUUAUCACGGGAGACACACGGCGGGUGCUAACGUCCGUCGUGAAGAGGGAAACAACCCAGACCGCCAGCUAAGGUCCCAAAGUCAUGGUUAAGUGGGAAACGAUGUGGGAAGGCCCAGACAGCCAGGAUGUUGGCUUAGAAGCAGCCAUCAUUUAAAGAAAGCGUAAUAGCUCACUGGUCGAGUCGGCCUGCGCGGAAGAUGUAACGGGGCUAAACCAUGCACCGAAGCUGCGGCAGCGACACUGUGUGUUGUUGGGUAGGGGAGCGUUCUGUAAGCCUGYGAAGGUGGCCUGUGAGGGUUGCUGGAGGUAUCAGAAGUGCGAAUGCUGACAUAAGUAACGAUAAAGCGGGUGAAAAGCCCGCUCGCCGGAAGACCAAGGGUUCCUGUCCAACGUUAAUCGGGGCAGGGUGAGUCGACCCCUAAGGCGAGGCCGAAAGGCGUAGUCGAUGGGAAACGGGUUAAUAUUCCCGUACUUGGUGUUACUGCGAAGGGGGGACGGAGAAGGCUAUGUUGGCCGGGCGACGGUUGU
rnacentral:rRNA from 1 species